rnacentral:lncRNA from 1 species
UGGUAACCUCUAUUCUACUUUUUGCCUCUGAAGUUGCCUAUUCUAGGCACCUCAUACACGUGGCAUCAUAGAAUAUUUUCCCUUUUGUGUCUGGCGUCUUUCACUCAGUGUAAUGUUUUCAAGGUUCAUCCAGGCCACAACGUGUGUCAGUGCUUCACUCGCUUUUCAGGCUGAAUGAGAGUCCAAUGGUGUACAGGCGUCUAUUUGCGUCCCUGCGUUCAGUUCUUCUGGGUAUAUGUCUAGAUGUGGAACUGCUGGAUUACCUGGUAAUUCUAGGCUCAGCUUUGUCAGGAGACGCCAUACUGUUUUCCACAGUGGCUGCACCAUUUAUAUUCCCACCGGGAAUGCACGAUACCACUUGAUUUCAUAUUUUCGGAUUACUGCUCUUUCUUUGCUUCUUUUUGCCUGAUACGUGUUUUAGGAAAUUAGCACUGAUGGCAAAGUGGAGGAAGUUGAAAGUGAGAUUGGUUAGGAGGCCAUCACAGCAGUGUAGACAAGAGAUGAGGACGCCCUGAGCUAAGGCAGGGUGGUAGCAAGGAAAAAAACACAGAUCUAAGAGAGAUUUCAAACAUAGGCAUUGGAACAUUUUUUCGCUUAUUUAUUCUUUCAUUCCAGAAGUAUUUUGAAUGCCUGUGAUUUCAGGAAUGGGGAAGACAGAGAUGAACAAGAUAGUUAUGGUCCCUGCCCUCUUGGUACUCACAGUGUAAUGGAGGGGAUGGAUAUUAAUAAAAUAGCCACGUACAUAAAGGUCAGAGUGGAAAUGUGGAAAAUGUGGCAAAAGAGCAGUAAGAAGCGGGAAGAGUUUUGACCAAGUGUGACAGCCAGGGAAGGCUUCCCUGAGGAGGGCAUUUGGAUGAGGAGGAGUUAAUUGGGGGGGAUGGAUUGAAAGUGGGUGGCUAAUAGUGUUAUAGGCAGAGGAAACAGCAGAUGCAAAGGCCCUGUGGCAAGAGGGGGAGGGUACAGGAUUCUAAGAACAGAACGGAGGUCAGUAACAAUACUGGUGCAGUAUUGUUUCCAAUUCCAAAAUGUACAAAGCAAUCCAAGUGUUCAUAUAAGAGGAAUUCUUAAAUUAUGAUUCUGCUAUAGAAUGGGCUACUAUGCAGUCGUUAAAAUGGUGUAUAAAUCUGUUUACAUGAUAUUGAUAAAUAAUAAAAGCACGCUGGAACAGUGUAUAGAAUAUGAUCUUGUUUUUGUUUGUAUAUAAAUGUAGUCAAACAACGUGUAUUUAUUUCAAUAUGUAUGGUUUUACAGAAAAAGUCUGAAAUAUAUUCAUCAAAUGAUCCUCUCUAGGGAGUGGGAUUCUGCGUGAUUGUAAUUUUUUUCUUUUUGCUUAUUUAUAUCUAAAAAAUUUCUACAACAAAUGUGACUUACUUGUAUCAAAAAUAAAUUAAAGUAAGACAGUUCUGUGCCAGAAUCAGUAGACUUGGUACCCUUGGAUGUGGGGAAUGAGAGCAAGGUGACUGUCAGCAGUGACUCGGGUCGUGUUGUGGGUGGACGAUGCCUCCGCUAGUGCGGGGAGGGGACACAGCUUGAGCAGAGUGAGACGAAGGAGAAGAUCGCCAGUUAAGGCUCGGACAUUCUGAGCUGGAGAUAGAAAUGUCUGAUAGGACGUUGGGAAUGUGGUUCUGGAGCGUAACGGUGUCACAAGCGGCCGAGAGCUAAAGCACAGUGAAGGGGCCCUUAUGUUUUCUGAGCAGGAGGUUGUUGAUUGCCCUCGAGAGCCAGUAGGGUGGAGAAGAAGAUCCGAAUGCAGUAGGCUAACGAAGGAGUGGGAGAUGAGGAAGGAGAGGAAGGACUAGCAGCAGACAGGGGUGCCCUUUCCUGAUGUUCGGGCGAGAAGAAAAUCAGGAUUUUAGGACAGGACACAGAGCAGGUUUGGUGAGACAGAUUUAAAGAUCUUCAACAGAAAGUUUAAAAAAGCAGAGGGGCAAGAGUUAAUAAGUAAAACCACCCAGCAAAGUGUGUAUAGCAAGAAAAGAAACAUCCCUAGCCUGGACCUUGGUGAGUAAACGUAGUUGGACCAGGUGUAAAAUCCUGGAUUGCCAGUUUUUCUCUCAGUGCUUUGAAGAUGUUAUUCUGCUCUUUUCCAUUGUUUCUGACAAGAUGUCAGCUGUCAGUCUAGGUAAUCUGUCUUUUCUCUCUGGUGCUUUUAAGAAUUUCUUUUUGUCUUUGGUUUUUCUUAUUUAUCUUUCUUGGGGUUCAUUAGGUUUCUGAAAUCAGGGGACCCACAACCUUCCUCAGUUCCGGAAAAUGCACAGACAGCCUCCUCCGUGCAUGCCUCUGCCAUGUUCUCUCUGUGCUGCUGUGCUGCUAAUCAGACGCGUGAACCCCUCUAGCCGGCCGCCAUUCCUCUUAACCCCUCUUCUCCAUUUUUAAUCUCUUUGUCUCUUUAUGCUGCACCUGAAUCUAAUUUCUUUAUAUUUCAGUUUAUCCUUUCUCACUUUUAAUUGAUUAUUUUUAUCCAAAUUACACAAACGUAUGGUUUAAAGAGCCAAAUAAUUAUACAAGGCUUGUGACAAAAAAGUGGUGGUUCCCUGAUCAUUCUUCCUUAUUUUUGAUCUCUAGGAACUUUCAACUGAAUCUUUUAAUAUUUGCCUCAGUAAAUCUAAAUAACAGGGCUGUGUUGCUGCUUCUCGGCUUUUCCGUUUGGGCGCGGUCUCUUGUUCUGUACCGUGGGAGAUGCGGGUGUAGCUGUGGUUCCUCUCCCCACUCACGCAGAAGCCCCUCCCAACGCACGCGCUCCCAUCCCCAGACGUCAGAGACGCUUCGUAUUGUUCGUAUCUUAUGACUGAAAACUCUGCUCGCUGCUGAGCCUUCAUCCAUCGUCCUUUCCUGCAGUGCUUUAUUUUUUCCCUUGGAUUAAUGCUUAGCACUUAGUUUUCCAUGCACAUACGCUAACUGGAGCCUAAACUCUCCUCUGGUGGUGUAACUGUCUUUUCAACGUGCUCAAACACGUAGGCGUUCAGUCAGUUUCGUCUUGAAGAAGGCUUUCCCAGAGCCGUCCGCCCGACCCCUCUGGAGGGCUGGUUUCCAGGUCUGCGCCCGCCUCUUACCCUGCACUCUCCCUCUGCCAUCAGGCCAAGGCUUUCCUUUGCUUCUUUCUCCCGUUUGUCCCCUGGCUCCUGUUAUCUUCCUCACCGGUUUACUGCAUCUCUUUGGUGCAGCACGUCCUCCAGUGGCUUCCUGAGAAACGGUGCUCGGAAGAUCAUUUUUUGCAGAACUUACAUGUCUAAAAGUGUCUUGGGCUGUCCUCACACUUAGAUAACCCCUUCGGAUUGCACAGUUGGAUUUCCAACUUCAAGUUCCAGUAGUUGAAUUUUCCUUCAGAAUUUUGAAAGUUUUCCUGCAUUUUCUUCUAGUUUCUGAUGUUGCUAUUGAAAUUUUGACACUUUUCUUUUUCUCGAUCCUUUGUAUGAAAGCUGUUAUUCUUUCUGGAACCUUAGAGAAUCUUCUCUUUGUUCCGAGUGCUCUGAAACUUGACAGUGAGAUGUCUUGGUUUGGGUCUCCUCAUCUACCCUGCUGGGCACCUGGCAGGGAAACGUUCUUGAAUUAUUUUCUAUCCUUCGUUCCUAAAAUUCUAUCCUUCUGGAACUUCUAUCACAGAAAUGUUGGACCUUCUACUCUGGUCCUCUACGUUUUUCUUUCUCCUGUUGUUUUUACUUUUAUUGUUUUGUUCUAGUUUUCAUUCCUUCUGUUAAAUCUUUCGUCUCUGUGAUUACUUUUAUAUUUUCCAGAGCAUCUUUUUUAUACUCUGAGUGUUUUUUAAACAUCAUUUCUUUUUUUUUUUUAAACCUCAACAAAAUUUUUACUUGAUGAGAUAAGUCUAAAGUUCAGUCUUUCACAAGGAGUUGAGCAUAGUCCACUCUUCUAGAGAAGUAGGGGGAAAUUACCUAUCAGAAUUCAAGGCUUACAAAGUUACAGUAACAGUGAACAUCAUUUUCCUGUUUCAUGGAUGCAAUAACUUUUCUUAAUCUAUCUGAGGCUGUGGACACCCUUCUCUGCCCAAUUUUCUUUUCCCUGCGUAGUCUGUUCUUUAGGCCUCUGUCUUUCAUAUCGGAAGAUUUCCUGAAGUGUCUGCUGAUCUUUGGCUGUCCCUCUGCUCACAUUGAAGAAUGGGCAUGAGCUGUCUGGGGACUCGGGGUGCAGCGGUUGGGGCUGGCCCGCGGUGGCUUCACUGCAGGCGACGUGACUGAGCUGUUUAUUGGGAAGGCUCGAUGUCGGACUCUUUCUCUCUCUCCCCUUGGGCUGGUCAGCUCCUCCGAGAGGGCUUUUCCAGCCUCCUGCUAGGAUUCUGGGAGCCGAGCAGAAGAAGCCGGGGGCUCUCAACACCACCUCCCCUCCUUUUGUUCGUUAGAUACCCCAGUCCUCAACUGUUUUACCCCCGGAGCAGCUUCAGUCUCUUGCUGCGGUGGCAGAGAGGCAGUCAACAGCUGCUGGCACGGGGGCUCACUACCUUCUAAGUGGGAUUUCAUGCAGUGCUGUUCUUGUCUCAUCCCCCUCCCUCCACUUCAGAGCAGCCUGAGUCUUCAGAGCCCUCUCCUGCUGACUCGGGGUUCAGUGCUCUCGAGGCUGCUGUCAAUUAACUCUCUCCCCUGUUUACCAGCCCCGCACCUUCUCUCGCUGUCUCCUUUCCCUGCUCUCCAUCCUCGUCGUUAGGAAGGCAUAGGAGGGUCUCUCACAUUUUCCCCUUGCUCUCCAGCCAGGGCGCAGAGAGGGCUGUAUCUCUGCUCGUUCCUUCUGUAGAGUGGAUGGAGGGGAGGUGGCCUGUCACGGAGCCACGCUUGGGGAGCCACGCUUGGGGCGGGGGGAGAGUCUCUGAUGCAACUUCCACCUUUGGUAGCCCAGACGCUGUCUUGUCUCCUGACUGAGCAGCCUGUUGGGACCCAAGCCCUAGGUCACUAGGCACCAGCAGACGCCCCAGGACAGUACUGGGCAGCUACAGAACCCAUCCCCUCGGCUUCACAAUGGCUUGUUCUUUCCACCUCUGAUGAUCUCCUUUAUUUUCCUCUUGACGUGGACCUAAAAAUAUUAUUUAAAAAAAUUAGAACAGUAGAUAUUAAAGAAUCAUGUUUAGGACUUCUGCAACAGGAAGGUUUCCACAGACACCUAGUCUGCCAGCUUGCCAGACACGGAGGCCCUGCCUUUGUUCGUGCGGCACUAUAGGCAGCUCGCCAGCUCCGCGGCAGGCACAGCCACGUGGGCCUCAGGCCUCCCUGGCAGCGCGUGAGACUGGUGGUUGGUGCCAUGACUUCCAUUGGACAGCUCGAGACGCCGGAUGAUAAAUACACGGGGAGCUGGUGGCAGAGCUGAUGGUAAAAACCUGGGUUUGAAGCUCUUUUUCAUGAUCUUCGUCUCAGACAUGGGUCUUCUCUAGUCCCAAUGGAAGCCGUGGAGUGGCUUCUCCACUCGAGGGGAUUCUACUAACAAAACUGUUCCGUAGAACCCAGGUUCACGAACAACCCUGGCGUUGUGACCGAGCAUGAUAGCAGUCCUGUCAUACAUGUGUUUCUCCCAUCCCUCAUUUCUCUGUCCUCCACACAGUGACACAGGAUGAAAUAAGGUAAAGCCUAGGCCAGGCUCGACCUCCAGGUUGCACAGUUUCCACUCAUAGUCAGGUCUGGCCAAGAGGAGAACUCACCCGCAGUCGUGCUGGGUGGAUUGGGAGAGUGGUGAGCUGAGAGCUGGAAAAUGGCUCUUUAUUACUGGAAUGUUCCCACCCACCAUGUCAUGGUUCUCCUGGGAGAGCGGCCGUGGGCGUUUGGGGGCCGGGGACAAUUGACAUCAGCGGGCAUUUUCCAGGAAACUAUUUUACUUUGCAAACUCCUAUUUUCUGAAACUGGUGGUUUUAACUAGUUUCUCUUUCUUCUGCGUUAGUUGCUGGAGGACAUCCUCCCAGGUGAUCUUGUUUUUAUUAAAAAAAGGAGUCAGUCGUCGACAUAAAAGUUAAUGGCCACAGCGUGCGGCCAGCUCUUUUCGUGCUUUGGUUUGUUUUCCUUUAUGUGCCCCGCGCCUGUGCCCUGACGCGCUCUCCUUGUCCCCACAGGUACUGUGACUGCUUUGCCAGCGGGGACUUUUGCAACAACUGCAACUGUAAUAAUUGUUGCAACAAUUUACGUCAUGAAAUUGAGCGGUUUAAGGCCAUUAAGGUAACAAAUUUCCCUUAAAUAUAUGCAUUUUAAAAGUGCUUACGAGGUGCAUAAGACUGUCUCCAGAGGUUCCUACUUUCGAUAUUGGGAAGACCCAGGGUGCUGGAGGACGCACAGUGACUGGGACUCCAUCCUGGAGGUGCGGGCGCUGGCCGCGGUGAGGGCUUUCUCCUCCAUGCGCAGGGGACGGCUUCUGAGGGGCAGCAGAGCCUCGGGAGGUGAGAACAUGCAGAUGUCCACUCUGCCUUGAUCUGCGGACUAGAAACUUGGGUUGUAUUACGUAGCAGGUAAGCCUGAGCUGUUAGAGUGUCGUGUGAAAGGCGAGGCUAGCCCGCUGUACAAAAUACGGGCGAAAGCUCUCCGUCCUAUGCUGGCUUUCCUGAGGGGCAAACAGCACCUCGCGUGGCCCCGCAGGCCGCAGGCUCGAGGCUGAAUGCAGGAGCCCACAGUCUCCAUCCCUUUCUGCAGGCACAAGAGAUCAUGAGAGGAGGCAGGACAGCUGGGUUUGGGGCCUGCAGCCUGCUCGGGGCUGGCUUGGGGCCGCUGGUUUACAAAGGGGGCUUGAAGGCCAUCACCUGUAGGCUGGAGAUGGUCACACUGAGCCAUGGCUGCUCUGAUUUCUUCCUAAAGUCAUUUAAUUCCCCUCUUGAAUUAGAGAUAAAUCAGUGGAAAGUACCUUAUCAAUUUUGACGUUGCCAGACCCAUAGGACAGAAGAAAAUUAUGAUGCACUAAAGAUCAGUAGUAUAGUAGCAUUUUCCUUAGGGGAAGGGGCACCAUCUGCAAUUAAAAGUGUAAAGAGUUUUGGAGGCCAGCCCUGUGGCCAAGUGGUGAAAGCUCCGUGCGCUCCGCUUCAUGGGCCCGGGGUUUGUGGGUUUGGAUCCCGAUACGGACCUACUCCAUUGAUCAGCCGUGCCGUGGAGGCAUCCCACACACAAAGUGGAGGAAGCUUGGCACAGAUGUCACCUCAGGGCGAAUCUUCCUCACACACACACACACAAAAGUAAAAAGUUUUAUUUAAGAAGUGUUGGAAUUCUCAUGCAGUGUUGGUAGGAAUAGAAAUUGGUGCCACCACUUUGGGAAGUUGUUGGGCAGUAGUUACUAAGGCUGAUCCUUUGUAUGAGCAGUGAUGCCGCAGUUUCAUCCCUAAAAAUGUAGCCAGGAGAAAUGAGUGCGCAUGUCUACCAGGCUCGUGCAAGAAUGCCCACGGCAGCUGUGUUCACAACAGCCCCAAACUGGAAACACCCCAACGGUAGAAGGGCUGAGUCUGUUGAGGUGUGUCAUGUAGUGGAAUACUACACAUCACUGAAAAAGGAGGAGCUACAGCACUGUGCAACAGCAUGGGUCAAUCUCACAGACACUGUGCUAAUGAGAGAAGCCAGACCUAGAAGAGCACAUGCUGUGUGGUUCCACUUAUAUGAAAGUUCCAGAGCAUGCAACACUAAUGCGGCUAAAGUCAGAAGAGUGGUCCCCACUGGGCUGUGUCAAUGGGAGGAGUCAGGAGGGAGCCUCUGGGGCCUGGAUGUCCUCUAACUCGACCUGGGGUGGGUGACACAGGGGCACACGCAGGCCCAAGCUGAUCACGCUCCACCCUGCAGACCGUGCCUUCACUGCCCCUCAGACUUCAGUAGAAAGUAGGCUACGCUGACAGGCAGCCUCACCCGGGCUCUGUGCCACCCAGAGGACCUUCUGUGAGGAUGGGGAUUUCUAGUGGCCCUGGCGCGGGACGGCACAGGUCCCAGGUGUUGACCUGUGGAGGGGAGAGGGAGGGACAGGGGUGCCACUGCGACUUCUAGGCUGCUCGAGUUUCCCGCAAGAGCCCUGAAUUACUUUGUUAUAAAAACAUGUGCACGUUUGUAUGUCUUGAUAGAGAGUAGACAGAUAGGGAAGAAAGUUAAAAUAAAUGAACAAACCAGGAUAAAAAGCCAUGCGUGCUGUAUGAGAAAGGUGUGGCCCGCUGCUUGUGACCCUGGGCUGGACUGGAGCCUGGGGACUUGGUCGGAGUCAUCACUGGCCGUUUGUGAUUGAACCUCUCAGCGUGUCAGUUUCUUCAUCUGUAAGAGAGAAAGGACAGCAGUACACACUUCACAAGGCUGCUGUGAGGUGGAAUGAGAGAAGGCACGUAAAUCACGUAGAAAGAUGCCUGGGACAUGGGAGCUGUUUAUAAACGCGAGCCGUGAGCAGAGCACCACGCGCCCAACCAUCUUAGGAAACGUGUACAAGAAAUGCCGGAAGGAGACGCGCCCACGUGGACACGUGGUUUCCUUUGUCUUCACCAUCUGUUGAUUUGACAGUAAAUGUGUGAGACUUUCAAACUCGGCAAACAAGCCAAGCCUGGGGAGCUGUGGCUGCAGCGUGCCUUUAAGUAAUGGACCGAGAUGAAACAGGAAGCCGUGCGCUUUCCCAAGUGAGGAGACGCGCUGCUCAUGGUGGCUCCUCCUAAAGGAACAGCUAGAUCAAAAGGACAGGCAAACGAGAUAUCUCCCACUGAACUUUAUUUUUAAAUAAUAAAAUGUAUUUUCUCUUAGGCUUGUCUUGAUAGAAAUCCAGAAGCUUUCCAACCAAAAAUUGGGAAAGGAAAAUUGGGAGACGUUAAGCCUCGCCAUAACAAAGGAUGUAAUUGCAAGAGGUCAGGCUGCCUUAAGAAUUACUGUGAAUGCUAUGAGGUUAGUGAUCAAUUUCCUAGUAUUUUUUUUAAAAAAAAUAGGUAAAUAUUUUGGCCUAAGUAGCUUUUGUGGUUAAAAAAAAACAAACUUUACUGUAUAGCCAAGAUACAGAAACAACCUAAGCGCCCAGUGACAGAUGAAUGGAUAAAGAAGAUAUGGUGUGUGUCUACAAUGGAAUGUUACUUAGCCGCAAAAAAGAAGGAAAUCUGGUCAUUUGUGACAACAUGGAUGGACCUUGAGGAUAUUAUGCUAAGCGAAAUAAGUUAGAUGGAGAAAGACAAAUACCAUAUGAUUCCACUCAUAUGUGGAAUCUAUAAAAAACUAAACAAAGAAACAGACAAAAUAAAAGAAAAAUAAACUCAUAGAUACAGACAACAGAUUGGUGGUUAACAGAAGGGAAUGGGGUCGGGGAUGGUGAAAUGGGUAAAGGGGGUCAAUUGUAAGACGCAUGGAAACAGGACUUCUGGUGGUAAGCACGCUGUAGUGAAUACAGAGAUCGAGUUAUAAUGUUGUACACCUGAAACUUACAUAAUGUUAUACACCAGCAUUACCUAAAGAAACAACUUUACUAUAGUUUAAAAAGAAAAAUAUAAUUUAGUUUUCUUCCUUCCAUGGUUUCUAAAAGGGCACUCAUAUAAUCCCUACUAAUUCCUCAAAUAUCACUUACACUUUAUGAAGGAAGUAAAUUAACCCAGGGCUCCCUUGGGAGCAUGUAGCCUCCUCAGGCCCACCCCUCAGUGUCCAGGGAGGUGCCCACGGCUGUGGCUUUGUCUGUUCUGCAGCUGCUGAUCUGAUGCUCUGAGCCACACUCGGGAGCCAGCAGUUCUGGGGCUCCUCGAGGGGGGCCAUGCCUCUUCCUCUCUGAGCAGAGGGGAGAUGCUCUCGGUGGGGCCGUGGGGGACAGCAGGUCCCCCGGGGAGCCUUGUAGCCCAGUGAACAUUUGCCUGGGUGCUUGGGGUGGGGAGCUCCUGCGGGGCCCCUCAAACCAGAACGGGCAGUCGGCCUUUGCCACUAGAGAGAUGACAGCAUGGGGCAGACCCGUUCUUAGAGACAAGCUUUUUUCUUUCUCUCAAAGAUAUAACGGUAGUAGAGGGCCUCGCCUUCUGCUUUAGUUUCAUGGUUCUCUCGCCUCCCUCUCUCUUUCUUUGUGUGUUAAAGGAAGAGAGAGGAAGGGAGGGACCCCUCAGGCCCUGUCAGUGAAGCAGCCAGGAAACACCCUUAAAAGGCUCUCCUUUGAUUUGCUUGAGGCCUUGGGGGUACCUGUGGGUUUGAUUUUUAAAAGGUUGUCGUAGAAGGUCAGGCUUUAGAAAAGUCCUCAUGGUUCUGGAGACACACAUUGAAAGACCCAGCAGUCCCCCAGCUAGGAUUUUGAAAAUACAGUCAAAAACAUUGCAGAGAUACAGAAUUCAAAAAGUGAGUGACGUCACCCCAGUGGACCCAUUUUCAAAUGUCCUCAUGGGCCCCUCUCUGCCUUGCACAGUGCCCUCCCUGGCCGCCAUGAGACAGUGAGUCAGCCCCUCUCCAGAGGCCCAGCUCUGCCAGACAACGGCCCACGUGACGUGCAGACAUGUCUGCACUGUAAUGUCUGGCAUUGGAGUAGACCAGAAAUCCUGAAAAACCUUCUGCUUGAAACACCCAGAGCUGCAGAAUAAAACACAGCAGAUCCCCUUUGAGAUGCGUCUCUGAGCUGAAAAGAACAGAGGGAAAUCCCCAGGGGCUGAAACGACAAGCCGAAAACCAGAGUGGCUGGCUGGGCCAGCUUUCAGACUGCCCCAGGACCAGCACGAGCAAGGGGUUGGACCCAGGCUUGCCGGGCACACCUGGGACCCCCGCACCCCUGGCGCCUGAGCAUCACGCUGCCGUGUGACAAAAACAAAGUCCACCCACAAGGAAGCAGGAAGGGCUCCCUUAGCACGCCCGGCACAGGCCUGCGCCCGGUGGGUUUCCGGUUCUGCCCACCUGCACCUUCCCUGCACCAGCAGCGCCCGCGUAUCGCCCCGGCUGCUGCAAGAGAGGCGCUGGACUUGCUUACAGAGCUGGACCUCACAGCCCAGCCGCUAGAGCAGCUUCCCUCCGACGGGUCCCCGGAGGCGCUUCGCUGGGUUCCCAGCGGACAAGGGACAGCGCGCCCUCCCUUUGCCUGGGACUCCCAGCCACGCUCGCCCACCAGCCUUCCGCAGCCCACUCCCCACCUUCCUUGUCAGCAGCACACUGUGUCCCCACAGCAGUGACACGUGCGGAAAUGCACAUCGCUCUCUUCACAUCACGGUCAUUUCCUCCUCUGCGUUUCUGCCCUUUUUGGGGGGUAUGAAAAUUGCAGAUCACAUAUACACACGAAUAUAAACAAAGAGCUCUUUAAGGCCCGAAUAGAAUUUGUUGGUUUUUGGUGAAUUGUAGGGCAAUGUAAUUUUAUUGAGGCAUUUUAUAUUACCAGGCCAAAAUUAUGUGCUCUUCUAUUUGCAAAUGCAUUGGUUGCAAAAAUUAUGAAGAAAGCCCAGAACGAAAGACACUAAUGAACAUGCCCAACUACGUGGAAAUUGGAGGCGUUGAAGGCAGCCAUCAUUGGUCACCAAGUAAAUUUUCAGGACUACCAAAAUUCAGAAAAGAUAGUGCAUUAGAAACAGAAGUCGACGGGCUGCAUCUUAGAAAGUGGUCAGCUGUGACCCUUCCGUCUUUCUUAGACCCCUCUCCUGCGCUCGGACCUCCCCAGCUUCCCG